CAGCCGCCGCGGGAAUACGGAGGAUCCAAGCGUUAUCCGGAUUUAUUGGGCUUAAAGGGUGCGUAGGCGGCUUUUUAAGUCAGGGGUGAAAGACGGUAGCUUAACUAUCGCAGUGCCUUUGAUACUGAUGGGCUUGAAUGUACUUGAAGUGGGCGGAAUGUGGCAAGUAGCGGUGAAAUGCAUAGAUAUGUCACAGAACACCGAUUGCGAAGGCAGCUCACUAAAGUAUGAUUGACGCUGAGGCACGAAAGCGUGGGGAUCAAACAGGAUUAGAUACCCCUGUAGUCCCUGUCUCUUAUAC
rnacentral:rRNA from 1 species